CAACAAUUAACUUUAAAUGAUAAUUGUCUCUAAAGAUUUUUAAUUCUUGAGAGGAAGAGAAAUACUGAAAACUUCUCUAAGCUUUCUUAGAUAGUAUGAAGUUCAUCUCCUUUUCUUUUAACCUUUCUAGAAGGUUCUGGUUCUGCAAACAAGUAGGAUACAGCUCCAAGAAACUUACCAAACAUUUAAAAACAAAGAGUCAGAGCCAUACAAUGGGGGAACUGAAUGAGAUGUUGGAGACCAUUCAGGUAUUUUUACUUUUCCGUUCACAGAUGGGGAAACUUUGCCCCAAAUCACAUGACUGUUGAAUGCCUACACAGGAAGUAGAUCAAGGUCUUAGAAUUUUCUCUGAAUUUUCUACAUGGGAAGCUCAAAAAGAUGCCAUGCUACACUCUACAUUUUUUGGAAUAAAGCAGAGAAUGUGGGGAAGGAGGAGAGGGGGAAAGAAUCAAGGCAAGCCUGCUUAUUGUUGAAACUCUACCAAGUGCCCUCUUCUGGACCCCCCACUGGGAGAGGCUGUCUCAACAGGCCGGGGCGCUGCCGGACCACAGAAUCUUCCUUCUCAUACUGGAGAACUGGGCAUAGGACCCAGCAGCAAAAUGGACCCAAGAACCUUGCCCAUCCAGCAGCUAUGCCAGAAGCACCAGCUAAAUCUAAAAACCACAGAUUCAAUUAACUAAUCCCUCUCCUCGGAGUGCCAAGAAGAAAUAAUCUUGUCAACCACCCCCUUUGCCCUGAGCCCUGAUCCAAAGCUCAAUAUGCUUUUGAUUUUCCUAGAGUCUUCAAAAAAAAGAAAUGUUAUUUCAAGGCCACUCCCUGCUUUCCACAUUCUUGACAGAGGUAUGUUUUUCAUACUCUCCACAACACUGUACUGAUGGGACAGUGUUUGUGUUUAAUUUCUGUACAGUAUUUUGGUUGGUCUCAUCUAUGUUUUUAUAGUUAAUUGAACAUACGGACCCAGAUUGGUGGAAGAGGGCAUUCUGGCUAAGUUAUAUCCCAGGAACUGCUUUCCUGCUGAAAAAAAUAUAAGAUUCUUCUUCUCGUUCUUUUCUAGUCACCCGAGAACCGCAGCAGCGGCAAACAUAUUAAAUUCCAUCUUGUGAAAUAACACGAAAAAGUAUUUAGCAACAUUCCCCUUUCAACAGUGCUAAACAAGACUUGUGCUUUGUCACAGACUUUAUUCCCCAAUAUCCGAGCAGGAUCGCAGCUCAGACAACACGUUCUCAAGCAGAUGGGCUCGACUGAGUGUUUUCCUGCCUUAUCAUUUUCACUUCCUCUGUUUUCUUUUCACUCUCCUGGCACAUAAAAAUUGGAUAGUCGGCUGAUUUAUCCCCGGGGCACACACCUUGUGUCUUCUCUAGGAUGGUUUAAUUUGAUUUUUCUCAACAACAGCCAAGGACAGAAGAAAGUUUCUCAUUAGGAAAUUGCCUUGGGAGUGAUACAGAGCUUUGUUGGUUAAAGAAAAUGUUAAGUGUGAAAACUACAGCCCAGGUUACCUCACGCGCGUAUUCUCUUCAGACAGUUUCUGAGUGUUAGUGAUGUUGCGCCAACAAAACAAAAUUGAGGAUUUAAUUCAGGGCUCUCUCUUCUUAGUGAAAAGGCUACUUAUUGGGAGAGUGGUUCUGACUGACUUUGAGGUUUAAUGUGAAGAGAAAGCCUGCAGGGACUGGGCGAAGCUGGCCCUGUGCCAUUCAGCUCAAGUGGGGAGCUGACCCACCGGCUUAUUGACCCCUGACCUCUGGACCGAGACUUCCAGAACGUCCUUCAAUGUGGCGGUCAUGGUGGCAGCUUUUGUUUACCUUCAAGGAGGAUGUUUUGAGACCCUAUUGAUAAGUAAUGCUGAUUUGUAUGGAAACUUUUCAAGUUGAAAUUCUCGGUGGGUUUUUGGCUGCUUCUGGAAACCUGAGCUAAAAGCAAGGCCUCUGCCCCCUGCCGCUUGGGUUUAAUAACAAAACACAAAGCAACCAUAUAAACAGACCCUUUUAAUCGACUAUAGGCCCCAACUUCUCCCUUCUGGAAACAUGAGAACCGGGGCCUAGAACUUAUACCAUACGCAGAAACCAGAUACCCUUAGAAUCAGAAGUAUCUCCAACACUAAUUGGAUUAAAAAUCAUGAAGCGUACUCUCAGACUGGAGCAUUCAAAUCAAAUUAGACACCAUCUUAUUUUUUAAAAAUAAAGAAUUAGUGCCUUGUGUGUACAUUAUCAUCACAAGUUAAUGAGGGAGGGAGCAUGACUAGAGCCUCUCAGGUUACCAGAACGGAACUCGGAUACCACAAAAUGCUCCCUUCAUUUUUUUUUUUUUUUUUUUUUCAGGCAAAACAGAGCUAGAAUCUUAAAGUGCUACCACUUAAUUCCCCACUGAGGUAGAAUGAUGGAAUCUUCACUUUGCGAAUGAGAAAGGACCAAAGAGGCAAUGACAAGCCGGAGACCGCCCGGGGGUCUGGGAGCAGCACGUAUGCGUGUCCUCACUGCCCAGUGUUUCCUCUCAGCUGGGGGGACGUGUGUCGGUCACGCACUGGCCUGGCUCAACCAGAGCUCUGUGAUCACCCCAGUCUCGCCAGACCCUAUGUUCCUCCUUAGCGUCUCACAACCACCAGCUGAUAAAGGAGAAAAGAGAAGCGAAGCCACGAAGCAGAGGAUUUCUGCUUCCAGUUAGAUCAUUGAAGAAUGAGAAAGACCUUUGUUCCUGGGGUAACAGCCAGAGAAACUUGGCAAACGUAAGAGUGGGAUUUUCUGUCAGGCUCCUUAAAAGCAGUGGGAUGUAGGAGCACCCGAUGAACUGAGGACCAGAGAAGUGGGUCCUUCCUAGGGAGCAGCUUGCUCCCGGAUUCUAGGUGAGCAGGUGGAGGAGGAUCCCCCGCAAGUGGGGAGACUGCAGGGACAGGGAGAUUCGGAUGAGUCUGACGGGACCUGGGCUGGCGGGAAGGUGGGAUCAGGAAGAGCCCCAGACGAAUCACCCAGCCCAGCAUACUCUCUUGCAUAUUCUACCUCAUUCGAGGAGGCAGAGUGGGAGAAGAGCCGGAAAACAGGCCCCGGGGUGCCCGGAGUCAGAAGCCCAGACAGAUUUUAACCCACAAAGAACCACCAGCCUCUGGAAUCCCAACGUAACCCCUUCUUAGCUCCAGUAGGGGCAGGAUGGGAAAGGCGGGUCUAUGAGAAGAAAUGAAGAUCACUUGGAAGUAUAAACAAGUGAGUAAAUAUGACAGACUGAUUUUAGUAAAAGUGUGUGGAAGGGUGAUUGUUAAAGCCGGGAUAGUAGCAACGUGCUAUGGGGUUUAUGACAUAUUUAGAAGUAAAACAUAGGAUAUCAUAACACAAAAGAUGGCGAGCAUAAAUGUGAAUUUACUCUAAAAAUCUCACACUUGAAGUGGUGGAACAUUCAUUCAGUGUAUAUUAUAUUAAAGAUGCAAAUUACAGUCUUUGUGUAAUCAUUUUUUAAAAAAGAACAACUAAGCUAAUCUCUCAGUCUCUUUGAAAAGUGAAGAGAUGUGCUGCCCAGAUGUGCCUUCAGCAUCCAGACACUCAUUCCCCCAGUUCUGUAAGAGCCGGCGACCAGCUUCUUGCUGAAUUUCUUUGUAGAAUUGGCCUUGGCCCUGGAAAGCAGCCUCGCUCAAGGCUACAUCCCUUUCCUGGGGCAGCCUACAUUCUAGAGGUCCAGCCCCCGUGCCUCAGUUGGAGAGAGUCCAGCUCCAGAGCUCCUGGUCGGAUUGGCUAAGGCCUUCCUUGCAACUGGACCACAGUUUAGCUUCUCCCUCGGCUUGCUCCCUCCUCCCCUACCUCUUGAAGGUGUUGGUCCGGAGACCACUCCCAGGACAGCAUGGCACACUGUGUGCUGGGGAAACUGACCUACGGAAUUGCACCCAGGAGGAUGCCAAAGCUGGGUCAGCUGCCAGAACCUGCUAUGAGCACCUUGUCCCCUGGGGCUGUCAGCCUUUGCCUGAAGACAAAGACAAGGUCUGCUUUGCAAGACAAUACGUGACCACUCUCUCCUACACCUCCC